GACGCUGCUGAAUUCAUCGGCUGCGGCUACCCGGCAGCGUUUCGACUGUUUCGAGGUUUCGACGCUUUGUCCGUCUGCUGUUGUUUCGUGACCUCAUGUCAUUUUUUUUACUGUAUCUACUUUUGACAAGUGUCAGUCUGCUCAGUGGCCAGUGCUCAUCUGCUGCCAUUAUACGAAAUUGAACAUUUUGCUGUUUAACGCCGCUUCGUCGUCUUAAACGUUUAUUACGGCUGUUAACAUUUAGAUGUCUCGACGGCCAAGUAAAAAAUACUGACGAACGUUGUUUGAACACAAUGUAAGCAGUAUCACUGAAAUGAAAAAUUAUUAGUACCUACAAAAUUCAUAUACACGGAUCGACUUCCUAGUGUCAUUUUUACGGUGAACCCUCAGUCAUUGAAGGAAAUUAUUGUCAUACAAAAAGGGAAAAUGUUCAAUUAAUUACAAAGCUUAAAGAAGCAAUGGAUCAAUUUUCAUGGAAAAAGAUUUCUUAGAUGCAGUUAUUAAAUGUUCACCUGUAAACACUUGUCAUUUAAGAUUUGUAGAAAGUGCAAGUAAAUGAUACCAGCAUGGUUAAUGGGGUAGUAACGUUAUACAUUCUAUAUUGUAUUAUAUAAACCAAUGUUCUAUGUGUCAAACAAUAUAAAUGAAUAUACAAGAUAACACAGAAAGCAGUUGAAGCUGUCUAUUGUUGAUGAAAGAAGAAGAUAUUGAGUCAAAUCAAGACAGUUUUGGAUAUUGAUCAUUAAUUCUUUGCAUACAUUUUUUUAAGUUUUCAAGUUUAUGUAAAAUUAAAUGUCGGGAUCAAAUUUUCUAUAGACUUCUUAUUUUUUGUGAAUUCUGUUUUUUUUAUAAAUCAUUUUAAAGUAGAGUUAAGACAUGAGUAGUUAACCACUUUUGAUCAUAACUUAAGUCCAGAUUUUUAUACAAAAAUAUUUUUUUAACAAGUGUGUGCUGUUAGAUGGGAUUAAGAAGUGUUUUUCAUAACCUGUAAAAUCUAUCAAAAAAUGUUCUUUUGCAUAUUAAUGCAUAUUUUGAUCUUAGAGAAUAUUUUAGUUUAUGGUACAUAUAAAAGAAUAUUUUCGCAUGUUUUCACUAUAUUGGUUUAUAUUAGAGAAGUAUUUUCGAGUUCAAAAUUUUUAGUCGCCAAUUCCAUAAUUUACUGUGAUAAAUAAAUUGUUGUUCGUCAUAAUUCAUAAACAAAUGUAUUUGUAUACUGAUAUUUCCUCCAAUAUUAAAAUUAAUAGAAGAGAAUAAAAUAACCUAAGCUACAUAAUGUUGCAUCAUACCUAUUAUUUUUACGACAAUCCAAUCGAGAUGCUGGUCAGUAUGGCUACUAGCUAACUUAGAGCCUGAAAAUUUGACACUACAUAAUAUUAUUGUACAUUUCAUUAAUAACAUUUAAUAUUUUAAUAUACAUUUUUUCUGAUGCUUAUGUAUUGCAAAAUUAAUUUAACAAAAUAAUAAAUAAUGUAUUUAAUAUAUUAAUUUAUUUUUGCUUAUGAAUAUGAAGUUAUGAAUUAUGCUAAAGAAAUUAUUAACAAUGAAUGAUUUUUAGAAUGUUUUGAAAAUAUUAAGAAUUUUUGGGAAUAUUUCAUCAAUUUUUGCUACACAUAAACAUUGUGUUUCAAACGUUUUAACAGAAUAUAAAUGACUAAUCAUAAUUAGAUACUUAUCUGAUGUCAAAAUGUAUCUAAUAAAUAUCAUAAUUUGAUAAUCCAAAUGUUUUUUUUCAACUAGUUAUUUCUUAAAAUAGUUCAAAUAUGUGUAUGUACUUACAUAUUGUUGCUGUCGCCCUUAAAGUCACUUAGAGUCGAAUACUAAAAAUUGGCAUUAGUAGUAAACUAAAUAACUAUCAUACUAACUGAUAUAAACUGAUGUAGUUGGGAAAAUAAGUGCUUUUAUUUUAUUUUUACUUUAAUUGAACAAUUAAGCUUUUGAUCCUUAAGUAAUUGGUAUGUAUUUAUUCAAAUUAUUUAUUUGUUUGAAAAACUAUUUCCAACUUAUGAUAUUAAAGUUGAGUAUUAUCUGAUAAUUUAAUAUUCAUGAAUUUCAAUCAAUACAUAAGUAUAAAAUUUAAUCUAUCAAUACUCAUUACUCAUUAGUAAAGGUUAAC